AUUGAACGCUGGCGGCAAGCCUAACACAUGCAAGUCGAACGAGUGGCGGACGGGUGAGUAAUGUCUGGGAAACUGCCUGAUGGAGGGGGAUAACUACUGGAAACGGUAGCUAAUACCGCAUACCAUCAGAUGUGCCCAGAUGGGAUUAGCUAGUAGGUGGGGUAAAGGCUCACCUAGGCGACGAGCCCUAGCUGGUCUGAGAGGAUGACCAGCAACACUGGAACGAGGACACGGUCCAGACUCCUACGGGAGGCGGCAGUGGGGAAUAUUGCACAAUGGGCGCAAGCAUGAUGCAGCCAUGCCGCGUGUAUGAAGAAGGCCUUCGGGUUGUAAAGUACUUUCAGCGGAGAGGCGUUACCCGCAGAGGAGGCACCGGCUAACUCCGUGCCAGCAGCCGCGGUAAUUC
rnacentral:rRNA from 1 species